GUAUAAAUAGCUCAGUGGUAGAGCCCAUGCUUAGCAUGCAUGAGGUCCCCUAGGUUCAAUUCCCAGUACCUCCA
rnacentral:tRNA from 1 species